UACGUAGGGGCCGAGCGUUGUCCGGAGUUAUUGGGCGUAAAGCGCGCGCAGGCGGCUUCGCGCGCCCCGACGUGAAAGCCCCCGGCUUAACCGGGAGAGUCGUUGGGGACGGCGGAGCUUGAGGGCGGGAGAGGUCGGUGGAAUUCCCGGUGUAGUGGUGAAAUGCGUAGAGAUCGGGAGGAACACCUGUGGCGAAGGCGGCAUCCUGGACCAACACUGACGCUGAGGAGCGAAAGCCAGGGGGAGCAAACAGG
rnacentral:rRNA from 1 species